AAGGAACCCCCACCCCCAGCCAAGGGAAGCGCAGGUCUAGGAGUAGUAGAGAGACCAUAUGUUCCUCAAUUAGGCACAUAUAAUGUGAUACCCUUAAAUAAUGAACAAAGUUCAGGGCCAGUCCCUGAAACGGUGCGAAGCUAUUUUCCUGAGACUUGGAUCUGGGAGUUGGUGGCAGUGAACUCAUCAGGUGUGGCUGAGGUAGGAGUAACAGUCCCUGACACCAUCACCGAGUGGAAGGCAGGGGCCUUCUGCCUGUCCGAAGAUGCUGGACUUGGUAUCUCUUCCACUGCCUCUCUCCGAGCCUUCCAGCCCUUCUUUGUGGAGCUCACAAUGCCUUACUCUGUGAUUCGUGGAGAGGUCUUCACACUCAAGGCCACGGUCCUAAACUACCUUCCCAAAUGCAUCCGGGUCAGUGUGCAGCUGAAAGCCUCUCCAGCCUUCCUAGCUUCCCAAAAUACAAAGGGAGAAGAAUCCUAUUGUAUCUGUGGAAAUGAGAGACAAACCUUGUCUUGGACAGUGACUCCUAAAACUCUGGGGAAUGUGAACUUCUCAGUGAGUGCAGAGGCAAUGCAGUCCU
rnacentral:lncRNA from 1 species